AUUGAACGCUGGCGGCAGGCCUAACACAUGCAAGUCGAGCGAGCGGCGGAAGGGUGAGUAAUGUCUGGGAAACUGCCUGAUGGAGGGGGAUAACUACUGGAAACGGUAGCUAAUCCCGCAUACCAUCAGAUGUGCCCAGAGGGGAUUAGCUAGUAGGUUGGGUAACGGCUCACCUGGGCGACGAUCCCUAGCUGGUCUGAGAGGAUGACCAGCAACACUGGAACUGGGACACGGUCCAGACUCCGACGGGAGGCAGCAGUGGGGAAUAUUGCACAAGGGGCGCAAGCCUGAUGCAGCCAUGCCGCGUGUGGGAAGAAGGCCUUCGGGUUGUAAAGCACUUUCAGCGGGGAGGCGUUACCCGCAGAAGAAGCACCGGCUAACUCCGUGCCAGCCGCCGCGGUAAUAC
rnacentral:rRNA from 1 species